CCAAUAGCGUAUAUUAAAGUUGUUGCAGUUAAAAAGCUCGUAGUUGAAUUUCGGGAUUAGUAAGUUGGUCGUGCCUCUGGUAUGUACUGGCUUUACUGGUUCCUCCUUCUUGAAGAACUGUAAUGUCAUUAAUUUGGUGUUGCAGGGAAACAGGACUGUUACUUUGAAAAAAUUAGAGUGUUUAAAGCAGGCUAACGCUUGAAUACAUUAGCAUGGAAUAAUGAAAUAGGACGUUUGAUCCUAUUUUGUUGGUUUCUAGGAUUGACGUAAUGAUUAAUAGGGAUAGUUGGGGGCAUUAGUAUUCAAUUGUCAGAGGUGAAAUUCUUGGAUUUAUUGAAGACUAACUACUGCGAAAGCAUUUGCCAAGGAUGUUUUCAUUAAUCAAGAACGAAAGUUAGGGGAUCGAAGACGAUCAGAUACCGUCGUAGUCUUAACCAUAAACUAUGCCGACUGGGGAUCGGAUGAUGUUAAUUUUUUAAUGACUCAUUCGGCGCCUUACG
rnacentral:rRNA from 1 species